CAGUAGCCGCGGGAAAACGUAGGUGGCAAGCGUUGUCCGGAAUUAUUGGGCGUAAAGGGCUCGCAGGCGGUUUCUUAAGUCUGAUGUGAAAGCCCCCGGCUCAACCGGGGAGGGUCAUUGGAAACUGGGAAACUUGAGUGCAGAAGAGGAGAGUGGAAUUCCACGUGUAGCGGUGAAAUGCGUAGAGAUGUGGAGGAACACCAGUGGCGAAGGCGACUCUCUGGUCUGUAACUGACGCUGAGGAGCGAAAGCGUGGGGAGCGAACAGGAUUAGAGACCCCUGUAGUCCCUGUCUCUUUACC
rnacentral:rRNA from 1 species